rnacentral:rRNA from 1 species
GACGAACGCUGGCGGCGUGCCUAAUACAUGCAAGUUGAGCGCUGAAGGUUGGUACUUGUACCAACUGGAUGAGCAGCGAACGGGUGAGUAACGCGUGGGGAAUCUGCCUUUGAGCGGGGGACAACAUUUGGAAACGAAUGCUAAUACCGCAUAAAAACUUUAAACACAAGUUUUAAGUUUGAAAGAUGCAAUUGCAUCACUCAAAGAUGAUCCCGCGUUGUAUUAGCUAGUUGGUGAGGUAAAGGCUCACCAAGGCGAUGAUACAUAGCCGACCUGAGAGGGUGAUCGGCCACAUUGGGACUGAGACACGGCCCAAACUCCUACGGGAGGCAGCAGUAGGGAAUCUUCGGCAAUGGACGAAAGGCUUGCCGAGCAACGCCGCGUGAGUGAAGAAGGUUUUCGGAUCGUAAAACUCUGUUGGUAGAGAAGAACGUUGGUGAGAGUGGAAAGCUCAUCAAGUGACGGUAACUACCCAGAAAGGGACGGCUAACUACGUG